rnacentral:misc_RNA from 1 species
CAUUAGUUUAUCAGAAGCGUCCAUCUUAUAUUUUUGCCGACUCGAAUUUGCACAUAUUUUUUUAAAUAAUAAAAAAUUAAGUGUAACUAUUACAGUUUUUCUUAAAUUAAGUUUUAGAUAAUAAAACAAAAAAUUUUCUUCAAAUAUUAACAAUGUCACGGUAUCGUGAAUGGGAUCCUACUUGCAAAGUUUACGUAGGUGAUUUAGGAAGCAGUGCUAGCAAACAUGAAAUAGAAAAUGCAUUCAGUAAAUAUGGACCACUGCGAAAUGUUUGGGUUGCUCGAAACCCACCUGGUUUUGCAUUCGUUGAAUUUGAAGAUCCUCGAGAUGCAGAGGAUGCCGUUCGUGGAUUACACGGAACACGUUGUUGUGGAACAAGAAUAAGAGUAGAAAUGUCGUCCGGUAGAACUCGUCGUGGAGGUGGAGGACGUCGGCCUGGUCCCCGAUAUUCAAGAUCUAGAUCUCGUAGUCCACGCAGGAAAUCUAUUGGUCGUUAUCCAAGGUCUUUGUCCAAGAGUCCAAAAAGAUCACCCAUAAAUAGAUACUCCAGAUUCUUCCAGUGUGAGCUCCUAGUUCUGCUCGCCUCCCCGUCACUACUACUACUACUUCUACUACUACUACCACCACUACUAGUACUACUAUUAAUAUUACUACUACAACUUUUACUACUACUACUACAACAGCCACCGUGAACAAAAAAGUUUUGAAAUCACAAACUGAAAAAGAUAUAAAGAGCCUCAUCGAUAGAAGCAAAGUCGUCCUUCAGUUGACAGUUUGUUAGCAAGUCUGUCAGCAAGUCAGUAAUCCUUCAAAGUCAGCUUCCUGCUACCACAACUUCUAAGCAACUAGGAGCAUCAUAUACAUCAAUCACAGACAGCCAACGCGAUAUGAAUUCGUCGAUCCAAAUAUCAUCGCGUCUGUCCCAACUACUUCUACCACUACUACUCCGCCAACCACAGUGUUUUAUUUAGGUGUACAGUGAGACCGUCACGUUUCUUCAAUUGAGCAAUGCAAAAUAAUCACAUACAUACCAUCCUCCACCUAAUCGACCACUACCACAAUUACUAUCACUAACUACCAUCAUAGGUUCAUAUUUAUCUGGUCAAGAUCGCGUAGUCCACGCAGACGAUCUCUGACUCGUAGCCGUAGUCGGGACCGCCGUUCGAGAUCAGACUCCCGUGAAAGACGUUAAAUGCUAAA